rnacentral:rRNA from 1 species
UACGGGGGGGGCAAGCGUUGUUCGGAAUUACUGGGCGUAAAGGGCGCGUAGGCGGUUGGAUAAGUCAGCUGUGAAAACCACGGGCUUAACUCGUGGCCUGCAGUUGAGACUGUCUGGCUUGAGUGUGGGAGAGGAGAGUGGAAUUCCUGGUGUAGCGGUGAAAUGCGUAGAUAUCAGGAGGAACACCGGUGGCGAAGGCGGCUCUCUGGACCACAACUGACGCUGAGGCGCGAAAGCUAGGGUAGCAAACGGG